AGUGGCUACAUUUCCAGCAAACAUGGCAAGAAAUCCUUCCAAAAAUAGGGUUAAACUACUUUAUUUUCUUUCUUAUUUUUCUGUCCUUCGUUCUCUUCUUGUUUAAGCUCACUAGAAGUCGCAAACUCAAUUUACCUCCAUCCCCCCCAAAGCUGCCUGUAAUCGGCAACAUUCACCAUUUGGGCACACUGCCACACCGUUCUUUACAAGCUCUCUCGAAAAAAUAUGGCCCUUUAAUGCUUUUGCACAUGGGGCAUGUUCCGACUCUCAUCGUUUCAUCUGCCGAGGCAGCUAGUGAGAUUAUGAAGACCCAUGAUAUUGUUUUCGCAAACAGACACCAAACCACAGCUGCAAGCAUCUUUUUUCAUGGUUGUGUAGAUGUUGGUUUUGCUCCUUUAGGUGAGUACUGGAGAAAAGUUAGGAAGAUCUGUGUCCAAGAACUUUUGGGCCCGAAAAUGGUGCAAUCAUUUCACCACGUAAGAGAAGAAGAAGCUGCAGGCUUGAUUGAUAAAAUUCGUUUUGCUUGUCAUGGUGGGACUUCUGUUAAUCUAAGUGAGAUGCUGAUCUCUGUCUCAAGCAAUGUCGUUUCCAGAUGUGUUGUUGGUCGGAAAGCUGACAAGGAAGGCGGCAACAGCAAGUUUGGAGAGUUGACGAGGACAGCUAUGGUUCAAUUGACAUCUUUUAGUUUUGGGGAUUUAUUCCCUUACUUGGGAUGGAUGGACACUCUCACAGGCUUGAUUCCACGGUUGAAAGCAACUUCGAGUGCAUUAGAUUCCUUUCUUGAUCAGGUGAUUGAAGAGCACAGGAGUUUGGAAAGUGAUGGCGACAGCUGUGCUCAGACUGAUUUUCUGCAAGCUCUCCUCCAACUUCAGAAGAACGGCAAGCUUGACGUGCAGCUCACACGAGACAAUAUCAUAGCAGUAGUUUUGGUAUCUCUCACUACCUCUCAUAGAAAAAUUAAGAUUUCAUGUCUUUGUUGUUUUCGUUUUCUAAAUUUUCCUGAGCAUCAACCUUUCCAUUUUGAAACAUCUCAGGACAUGUUUGUGGGAGGGACUGAUACAGGCUCAACAAUGAUGGAAUGGGCGAUGGCAGAGCUUGUAAGGAAUCAAACUAUCAUGAGGAAAGCCCAAGAAGAGGUCAGGAGAAUAGUAGGGAAGAAAUCGAAGGUAGAAGCAAGUGAUAUAGAAGAGAUGGCAUAUUUGAAAUGCAUCCUCAAAGAGACUCUCAGGCUUCAUCCCUCUGACCCUCUGCUGGUUCCUAGAGAAACAUCAGCAAGUGUUGAGUUGGGAGGCUACGACAUUCCUCCCAAGACAAGAGUUAUUGUGAACGCAUUUGCCAUUCAAAGGGACCCUAGCUUCUGGGACAGACCUGACGAGUUUCUCCCAGAAAGGUUUGAAAACAACCCAGUUGAUUUCAAAGGCCAGCACUUUCAGUUCAUCCCAUUUGGUAGCGGGAGAAGGAGUUGCCCUGGGGCCCUAUUUGGAGUCACUGCAGUUGAAUCUGUGAUUGCCAAUCUCCUAUAUUGGUUCGACUGGAGGUUGCCAGAUGGCGCAUCUGAAGAGGAAUUGGACAUGAGUGAGAUCUGUGGAAUGUCUGCUUACAAGAAGAUCCCUCUUCUUCUUGUACCUUCAUUGUACUCGCCCUGAGCAAUCCAGAGAUCAUGCUUUUCAUGUCAUGGCUUAAAGAAGCUCUUGUUCUCAUCUUCCUAAAUUAAAAUAAAAAGAUGAGAAAAGAACCCCUUAAUUAUCCUUAUGUAACUCGAAAGUUAAAACAAUGAAUAAGUAAACCUCUCCUUGGUUUCUUGCUAUUGCUGGCCGUGUGAAACAAUUACUAAACUAGUUGCAGCAAUGGCUAUACUGCCAGAUUUGCAGCAAAACGCAACAAGAUUUACACAAAGCAAAGCGCUCCAAUUCUUUUCUUUUCCUUCUUCUUUCCCUGUGCUUUCUACUUCUCAUGUACAGGAUUUUUAAUAUUCAAAAGCUCAAACUUACCUCCCUCCCUACCGAAGCUGCCUGUAAUUUGCAACUUUCACCAACCAGGCUAAAAAGCAUGGCCAUUUGCUCUUGCAUCGGGAGCAUACUCCGACUCUAGUGGUUUUCUCUGCGGUGAUGGCUAGAGAAAUGAUUAGGAACCAUGAUGUUUGUUUCUCAAACCGACCCAAAACAAAAGCUGAGACCAAUACCGUUUUGAUUAAUAAUUGUUUUUAACAGUAUUUUUAUUUAAAAUUAUAUUAAAAUAAUAAUUUUUAUUUUUUAAAAAUUAUUUUUAAUAUCAAUAUAUCAAAAUAAUAAAAAUAAUAAAAAAAUAAUUUUAAACAAAAAAAAUCAUAUUAAAAAAAACCAUUUCAAAUGUGUUAAAAAAUUGCCUCUAAAAUUGCAACUAGCGUACUUAUCCAGAGGGGAUUCUUCCUCUUCACAUGAAUAAUAUGGUCCUAUAGUAGCCAAGCAAAACACAAAGGUUUGCUCAACUAACUUGUUAGGUUGGGGUGAGAAAAGAACAUGAAAAACCGAUUAAAUAGAAAAAAUAAUUAAAAAAGUUGAACCAUAAAAAAAAUGAUUAAACCAAUUAUUUUUUUUUUAAAAAAACCAAGGAUAAAGGUAGCUAUUCAAACGCUUAACAGAUGCAAUUCUAAUUAUAUCAAUUCAGGAGUCCAAGAAAGUUCGGUUCGAUUUCGGUUUUAUAAACUUGAAACUAAAAAAAUCAACCGAAUCGAACCGGUUCCGUUAAGGGGUACUAUAAAUACAAAAAAAAAAUGCUCUUUAAUUUCCUUAACCCUAGCGCGUCUAGCCGUCCUAAGAAAAUUAGCCGCUCCCUCAACCCUUACAAUUCACACCUUCACAAAUCUCAUCUCAUCUGGAGCAAACAAGCUGCGAGUUUGUUUUCUAGAGGAUGAUCAAAAUACCAUGGGAGAAGAGAAGAAGUUUUGAAGAAAGGAGGAAGAACAUGUCAUGUGUUCUACAUGGGGUUUCCCCAAAACACCGACUGAGAAAGAGAGAAAUUAGGAAAGAAUACUGAAUUAUGUUAUAUUAAUUGUGUAGUUUCUGUUACAUUCUUAGGGUAUUUAACAUAACCCAAAACAUUCCCUUGAUUCUAUUUUUCCCAUAGCCUUUACACGUGGCUUUGACUAUUUUAUUUAGAACCAUCAGUGCUGCAUGAAACACAACCGUUUAACUAAUGUUUCAAAAUUCCUUGCAGCUUCCUUCUAACGCUGUCGUUUAUGCUUGAUUUGAAUUAAAUCCCUCUUCUUCUGUGCUAGCCCUCAUCUUCUUUGGUUCCAGUCGUGACAAUGCUCCCUCCAUGACCACCACCUUGUCCUCAAGGUGAAACUCAAGAAAUCGAAAGCAGAAAUCAUCAACAUUUUCCCAGGUGGCUUUUGUCAGAGGUUCGUCCUUCCAAAAAACUAAUAAUUGAGCUGUGGCAGGUAAUUGUAAUUCAUAUGCUACGGUGCCAAUUUUCUUAAUGACUGUAUAAGAACCAUAGUAUUUUGUUGAUAGCUUAUGGGAAACUCUCUUGUAAACGGAGUGUUGUCUGUAAGGUUAUAAUUUGACAUAGACUGAAUCCCCUAUCGAAAAACUUCGUUCGCUUCUUUUCUUGUCGGCUUGCUGGGUCAUUUCGUGUUGAGAUUGUAGGAGAUUACUUCUAAUUUCUUUGAACAUUUCCUCUUGUUAGGUGAGGUAGUGAUCCACGGCCUCCACUAGAGAGUCCUUAUGAGUGUAGGGAAUGUGAGAUCAGAGAAGCUCAGCCAAAACAGAAGAAAAAAGAAGAGAAAGGGAGAGAAGAGGAAGAGACCGAGGGUCACUGCGCAUAGAAGAAGAAGAACCGUUUCUCACCAUCUAAGCACCACUGUGAUUUCUCUCCACCGCCAUCCUGCCACCAUCAACGCUGCCAACGCCAGCAGAACCGAAGAGGGAGAAGCAGAACAGAACAGAACAGAGAGAGGGAAAGAGAAGAUAAGGGAAACAACAGAGGAGGGGUUGAGGAGAGAAACAGAGGAGACAAGAGAGAAGGAAAGAAAACAGUUGCCGCCUACACCACCACCCCUGCCGCAUCCAGCAUUUUUUUGCAUACGACCAAGUGUCUCAAAGCUAAAAAAUCAUAUUGUGUUUUUUUAUACACCAAAAAAAAAUGUUUAGUAUGCAUUUUGGCUUUAAUAACCAGUUUAUUAAAGUCAAGAGAACAUUAACCAAAAUUUUAAAAACAACAAAAAAUUUAUUUUGUUUGUCUUUUAGUGUCCGGGGUAUGACAUUACACGUAAUGUGUAUUUCGGAUAUUUAGUUCUUUUUUCGGACAAUAGAACCCGGGGUAUGACAUUACACGUAAUGCGUAUUUCGAACAAUAAGAAACCACAACAUGACUUUAGAUUUUAUUAGACAAAACAAUGCAGCCUACCUUAGGUAGGGUGUAGUCGGGGUGCUAAUACCUUCUCUUUACGCAACCAGUCUCCGUACCUGAUCUCUAAAGAUCAGUUAGGGUUCCUAGUAACCAGAAUACUAGGUGGCGACUCCCAGUCUAUUUUUCACCGCUAAGAGACAAAGAAUUCCUUGUCUCACCAUAUUUUCCACAAUAGAUAGAUACAUACCACACCUUAAUGAUGGGGGGUGGUGGGUGAUCGUCGCAACGCCGUACACGUGUGACAGAAUGACGACUCCACUGGGGAGCUUGUGGACUAAGCAUUGCUUUGUCUGAUUUUUGUUUUUGGUUUUGUCUGUGUUUGUUAUUAAGAUGAUUAUUUUAUUUAUAUGCUUUAAUUUCUGUACAUAUUUGUUCAUAUAUUGUAUAGAUCUGUUUCAUGCAUCAUUCCUUUUUUUUGAGAGUUUGUAUUGCAAAACUUUAGGUUAAGUGGGGGACUAGUAGCUUACCUUAUGAUUUUUAGUCAAGGUUUAAGUUUGUGUAAACCCCAACUCUUCACUGAGUGCUUAGACUGGUAAUGAUUGGUGCAUGUGCCAUCUUGUUACCUGCUGAGCCCCUAUAUUGCCUUUACGAGGGCGUUCACUAGGACAUCAAGAGACCCUUUUAGAGACUGAAUAGCCAACCUACCCUUGUCAAACAUAAAAGAAUUAGAACUGGCCUUUAGGGUGUAUGCUCAUAGUACAUGUUUUGCAUAAUACAUAAACCAACAUAUUGGUUUUCAGGUCUUUUAAAACGAUAAGAUGGCCAUCAUUACCAAAUUUACUACUGUGGAAUAUGGGCAGAAUUCUGAAUUGUCACAACUAUCAGAGGGAGAUGUCUCUAGAUGUAAUGCAAGGAAGCUUCCAGUAGUCAAAAACUUGAAUUAUAGUAAAUAGAUGAAGAGAAUAUUGGUUCAUAGUCAGAACAUUGAUGAGGCAGCAUUUUCCGGAAGUAUGGGCGACUGUUAGAAAUUACAAAGAUAGAAGUAUUGAACCCAACAAUCAAAGCCCUGAUUAACUUUUGGGAUCUUGAUUACAGAUGUUUUUUCUUUGGAAAUGUGGAUUUGUGUCCCACUGUAGAGGAGUAUGGAAUGUUGAUGGAGUUUCCCAAACACCUGCACAAGGUUUAUUUCCCUUUGAGAAAUGACAAGGUAAUCCCGAAUUGUCAAAAUUACUGAAAAUUCCAUAUUGAGCAGAUUUUUGAGAAGAAUGCCAGUGGUUUAAAGUGAAAUUUCUAGAGGUUGAACUAGAAAGAAAAAAAUCGCAAUAUGGAUCGAUGCUAGAAAGAGACAAGUUAAUCGCUCUAGGAUAUAUGGUCUCGUGUUAUUUCCAAGCUUAACAGGAGUUAUAAGUCUAGAAGCUGCUGCUGCAUUUAUGGAAUAUGAAAAUACUCAUGUCAACCCUAUAACUGCCAUAUUAGCUGAGACCUUCCUGACCCUCAACCAUUUCAGGAAGACUGGGAAAGGCGCAAUAGAUGUUGUACUCAGUUAUUAUACAUCUGGAUGGUAAGCCAUAUUGAAACCAAAAGGCCGAUUUUUAAUAAUUUUUUGUGGUUUAACCAAAAACCCUUGAAGUUAGUAGAAGAAGAAGAAUGGGGAAGCCUGGGUGAUCAAGGUUGGAUGAAAAAAGUGCAAGAGUUACCUACUAGCAACUUUAGUUGGAAAGCCCCUUGGGUCAAAUCGGUUGAUGUCCUAGUCAAUUGUGGACAAAAAUGCUGGGUACCUUUAGUUGGGAUCACCGAUUAUGUCAGCUAUGCUCCAGCCCUGGUGAUAAGACAAUUAGGCGGCAUACAACACAUCCCAAGGACUAUGGGAUUUGCUGAAUUUUUCUAGUUUUUCAAGGAUCAAUCCGCGCUAAAAGUUCUUGAAACUAUCAAACAAGAUUAGAGCCACUUGACAUUAAUUCAAAAGGAGUCUGAAAGGUUAAGAGACCCCAGCUCAAGUGAAGGAUAUGAAAAGUGGAGGAAUUUGACCUGACUGCCGCUCCUAGAAUGCCCUGUUCUGAAGAUGGACCUUCACGAAUUAUAAAGGGUCACUGAAAAGAAAAAGGUCAGUAAUGAGGAGGACCUUAGGGCAAUUAGAAAGGCUCCAAAUAGAAUUGGAAAAAGUAAGAGAGAUAAACAACAUUAGAAAUGAUGAUGAUGGAGGAGACAAAAGUAGAGUAUUUCUAAACAAACAGCUCGAAUCUAGAGAUGCAAAAUAAUGAUAUUAGAGCUGCAACUAAGCAAAGGAAAGGCUGUAAUGGAAGAGUUGAGAAAGAGAGGGGAAUACUGAUUUUGGAUUGGAUGUAGAGCAGCUCUGAAUUGGAAGCAUUAAAGGCUGACUUCAAUGACUAUCAAGAAAGUGCUGAAUACAAUCAAGAAAAAAUUCUUGCACGUUCAAGCAGAGUUGCUGGACCGAAUCGAGAAGUAUGAUGAGUUAAACAAGAAAUGUGUGAUGAUAGAAAGUCAGCUAGCUGAAUUGCAAGAGUUCGAAAGAAAGGGGAAGGAACAGGAAGUUAUUAAGGCAGAUUUGGCAACUAAGAAAAAUGAAAUUAGGAUGCUGAAAGCAAAACUUGACAAAGAGCGGAAAAGGUAAAACAGUUGACGAAAAGUGGUAAGCUUCAGAAUAUAAAGAACAGAUCGACACAACAACAAUACCUUGAAUCAACAACAUGUUGCUUAUGGAGAAGAUGGCCAAAGUAGACGAGCAAAUGGAUGAAGCUGCCAUUCAUGCACGGAUUAUUAGAACCAAUGCUCGACGGGUGGGGAGGGACAUCUUCGUUAUCGACAAAGCUUGGCUGAGACUGAUGCAUUCUUAGAAAAAAUUGAGAAUCGAGGCCUUGCUUUCCUACCAGUGGCUAGAAAUAGGGAUGAAGAGGAAGAUUGAUGUAUUUUUCUGCUUUGUUUUUGUAUCCUCUUUUCAAGAGAUGUAUUAACCAAUAUUAUUAAUGAAAAAGGGCCUUGACCCAUCUUUUGUAAAAUAUCUCUUAUAAAGUAGGGUUAAGUCUACCAAAGCAACAACUUGAGCAAAAUUACCCCUGAUAAGGAACGUGACAAAGAAGUCCAUACCCAUUACGCAAACGAAAUAUUGACCAUCGAUCAUUUUUUUGAAAGCUUACAUUACAUAUGCAUCAUGCAUUAUUCUUUAUCAUACAUUCAUUUACAUUAUUCCAUGCACUCCUGAUCAUGAAACAUAGGUCCCCCAUCCAAGGUCCACUACAUUAGGUUAAGAUCAAGAAUGAAGAACGAAGAGAGGGUCGUCCUAGAAUCUCACUACCAAAGUGAAUUGGAAUCCGUGAGAAAUGAAGUUUCUCGGAUGACCAAUCUGCUUGAGCAACUUCUAAGAGCCAAGAACGGGGAGGGAACGUUACCCAACCACGAUAGGAGCAUUACCAGCUCAUGUCCCUGGGUUUCUCAGAACUUGGGGGCAGAUUCGGUAACGAAAAGCACUUUACACCUGCCAUUCCCAUCCAGCCCACUCAAGGUCACGUCAUGUAGAUUUAACAGCAAUGGGCCUCCCGAUAAUAGGUCCACUGGUUUUAUAACGAUGACAAGAUAUCCGCUUUGGAAGAAAGGUUAAGAGCAGUCGAGGGAAAUGAUUGGUUCAAUCCCUGCGAGCUUCUGAAGUAUGCUUGGUACCAAACAUCAUGGUACCAAAAGAUUUUAGGAUACCGAGUUUAUAAAGUACACUGGAUUGGAAUGCCCAAACACUCCCUUCGAUCCUAUUGCAACAAGAUGGCUAGGUGAUCCAUGACGAUAAGUUGUUGAUCUACUUUUUCCAAGACAGUCUAGCAGGGUUGCACUAAGCUGGUACAUGAGGUUGGAUAAUGCCAAAAUCAAGAAAUGGAAGGAUUUGUGGAGGCUUUCCUUAAGCAGUACAAGUUCAACUUGGAAAUUGCUCCAGAUUGAACAAGCCUUAUGUCAAUGGAAAAGAGAAGCCAAGAGUCAGUAAGGGCUUUAUGCGCAAAGAUGGAGGGAUGAGGCAACACAUGUGCAACCCCAUUGAUAGAGACAAGAUGGUGACUUUGUUCGCUAAUACCUUUAAGGCACCUUACUACGAGCAUUUAAUGGGUAGCUCAUCUCAGCAUUUUAUGAUGUUGUACGCGUGGCAGAAAGAAUAGCAAGGGAUUAAAGUGGGCGCAUAGCGGAGCCUUUAGAAAGAAAGGUUUUAUUGGAAGAAAAAGGGAAGGUGACGUUAACAACUUGGAAGGCGGAUACAAAGGCAAAAAAGUAAAUUACCAAAACCCAUAAAUGCCUACCCAUCAAUUCGCCAACAUGAACUUUACCAAACCUUUUAACACCAAUCGAACAAAUCACCAACCAAACAACCACCAAAGGCCAUAUAUAGGAUACACUUCGGAGCAGCUGCCUCCACUACCCAUGCCUUUAAAAGACUUGUACGGUAAACUGCUGAGCAUUGGAUAGAUAGCUUUGAUCCUUCUACCGCCAAUCCAACCGCCUUUUCCCACAUGGUACAAACUAGAGUUAACUUGUGAAUACCAUGCUGGUAAUCCGGGGCAUGGAAUUGAAACUUGUUAUGCCUUUAAAAGGAGAUUGUUAGAGCUCAUCAAAAGAGGGUGGGUAUCUUUCGAAGACAAGCCCAACAUCAAUUCAAAUCCAUUACCUAACCAUGACACAAGUAAUAGUGGAGUAGGCAUGAUAGAAGUUGGGAAUCAAAGCAGGCGUUGAAUGUGUCCAUGAAGAAGUUGUACGACAUGUUGGUAAAAUCAGGGUUUUUAGAGAUAAAUGUUGAAAGCCAUUUGGAGAGAUGUGACUAUUAUGAGUUCCCUGGUAGAGAGGGACAUCAUAUUAAGGAUUGCAUCGAGUUUCACGAGAGGAUUGCAAAAAUGACGAUAAUGGGAGAGUUGAGGAUUGAACCUAGGGAGGGCAGUCAUGAGGUGAGUAUGAUGGAAGGUCAAGAUAAGACGUCAGGAGUAUGUAAGGUCCAACCAACAGCUAAUGGGCCUCCAAAGUUAAUCUUGGCUAAGCUUUCUUACACAAAAGGAAAUCACAAUGACAUACCUUAUAAUUAUGGUUAUGCCUCCAACAUUCAAGUCCCUCUUCCUUUGUUCCAAACUGAGAUCAGUGGGUUAACUCGAAGUGGCCGAUGCUUCACACCCGAGGAGUUGAGGAAAACAUAAGGUAAAGAAGUGGUAGAUCUUGACAAAGCACUAAAAGUUAACAAGCCAGUAACUGAAGAGGAGUCGAAUGAAUUUUUGAAGUUGAUAAAGAAUAACAAGCCCUUAUACAUUAUUGUUAGGUGCAAGGACUGCCUCAUAGGAAAGGUGCUCGUUAAUUGUCGCACCCCAAAAAAAAUCCGAAGCGCGGCAUCGGCUGGCGAUUAUUCGUUCUAUUUUGCUGAUUUGGUUCUUUGGAGUCGCCACCUAGUAAUUCAUUGAGGGCUACUAGGAAACCUGAUGUACUGGUCUUGUCAGAGAUCGCGGGUAAGGGACUGGUUGUGGUUAGGGAAGGUAUUAGCACUCCUAACGCACCCUACCUGAGGUAAGCUGCUUUAUGGACUUGAUGUGUUAAAGAAGUUUUAAAAAUUCUGUUCUUUCAUCGAAUUUUAGAAAAUACAACUUACAUGUAAGUUCAUGAUUCUUUAUCCGUGAUUAAAUCAGAAUAUUAAAUUCUUCUUUAUUCUUGCAAUUUUAUCAUAAAAAAACAUUCAUAAACAAAAAAAAAAACACACCCCAUUCACUGUCAAGCUUCGUGGACUUGCUGUGAUAUUAAAAAUAAAUUUUAGCCCAAUUCUAAGGCUUUGAUAAAUCAGUUAUUACUUUUCCAGACUAUAUGUAGAUACAUGUUCUACAUUUUCAUGGAAAAUUCAACAUGAUUUUUAUCUGUCCUUUAGAUAUUUGUGCAUAUAAAUUAAAUUCAUUUUUUUAUUCAAUUCCAUACAUAAAAAAUUACAAACACACACAAACAUUUCUUUUUUUUUCUUUAUCACUUUCUCUUCCUCUUCUUUUACAUCCACAUUUACAUAAAAUACAAACUAUAACAAAAAAACCACAAAAUUAACCAAAGAUUACAAUGAAAAUUACAAAAACAAUCUAAAACUAUUUAGAACAGUGGCAAAUGGACUUCUGGAGUUGCCGGAACAGUGUUCAACAGAGCUUUGAGAGCUGGAACAGUAGUGGCGCGUGGAUCUCACGCACCACCGCCACUGGCGGCGCGUGGGUCCACGCGCCGCCGCGAAAAAACCAGAAAUAGGGGGGUCUGCAACGACCUCCUCCCCCCUUCACUUCCUUGCCGGCGGUGAGAACGACGUCACCUACAAAGCCAAACAAAACCCAACAUCCAGUCGAUUUUAAUUUUUCUUUACUUUUCUGAUCUGAUCAUCCCUUCCUUUUUUUUCGGUGUGUUCUCCUUUGCUGGUGAUAGAUCCAGCUUCUGUGGUGGAGAUGUUUCCUCGGUGGUGAGCAGAUCGGGUCCGUGAGGAGGAGCUGCUGCGGUUGGCGGACGGCGUUGAUGGUCCGGAGGAGGAGGAGACACUGCUGAGAAGGGGAGGGUCUGGUACUGGUCGUUGCGUUCGGGCCGGUCGAUCACCGAGACCAGCCCCCCUCAUCAGAUUUUUUUUCCUUCUUCUCGCCAGCAAGCACAGCUUCUCCCUCACCUAUCAGGAGCCGCCAGCAACCCCCAGCUCCACCCCGAAGCCAUUUUUUUUCUUCUCCCAGCCGACACCAACCUCCCCUGCACGCCGGCCCCUGUUUCUUCUCCAACCGGCCAAACCAGCAGCGCCGAUCCUCCCUCUCAGCCACCGUGAACGGACCGCCCACUCCACUGCCUUCAACCGGCCCGAACGCAGCAACCAGUACCAGACCCUCCCCUUCUCAGCAGUGUCUCCUCCUCCUCUGGACCAUCAACGCCGUCCGCCAACCGCAGCAGCUCCUCCCUACGGACCCGAUCUGCUCACCACCGAGGAAACAUCUCAACCACAGAAGCUGGAUCUGUCACCAGCAGAGGAGAACACAACGAAAAAAAAGGAAGGGAUAAUCAGAACGGAAAAGUAAAGAAAAAUUAAAAUCGACUGGAUGUUGGGUUUUGUUUGGCUUUGCAGGUGACGCCGUUCUCACCGUCGGCAAGGAAGUGAAGGGGGGAGGAGGUCGUUGCAGACCCCCCCUGUUUCUGGUUUUUUCACGGCGGCGCGUGGACCCACGCGCCGCUAGUGGCGGUGGUGCGUGAGAUCCACGCGCCACUACUGUUCCAGCUCUCAAAGCUCUGUUGAACACUGUUCCGGCAACUCCAGAAGUCCAUUUGCCACUGUUCUGAAUAGUUUUAGAUUGUUUUUGUAAUUUUCAUUGUAAUCUUUGGUUAAUUUUGUGGUUUUUUGUUAUAGUUUGUAUUUUAUGUAAAUAUGGAUGUAAAAGAAAAGGAAGAGAAAGUGAUAUAGAAAAAAAAAGAAAUGUUUGUGUGUGUUUGUAAUUUUUUAUGUAUGGUAUUGAAUAAAAAAAUGAAUUUAAUUUAUAUGCACAAAUAUCUAAAGGACAGAUAAAAAUCAUGUUGAAUUUUCCAUGAAAAUGUAGAACAUGUAUCUACAUAUAGUCUGGAAAAGUAAUAACUGAUUUAUCAAAGCCUUAGAAUUGGGCUAAAAUUUUAUUUUUAAUAUCACAGCAAGUCCACGAAGCUUGACAGUGAAUGGGGUGUGUUUUUUUUUUUUUUGUUUAUGAAUGUUUUUUUUAUGAUAAAAUUGCAGGAAUAAAGAAGAAUUUAAUAUUCUGAUUUAAUCACGGAUAAAGAAUCAUGAACUUACAUGUAAGUUGUAUUUUCUAAAAUUCGAUGAAAGAAUAGAAUUUUUAAAACUUCUUUAACACAUCAAGUCCAUAAAGCAGCUUACCUCAGGUAGGGUGCGUUAGGAGUGCUAAUACCUUCCCUAACCACAACCAGUCCCUUACCCGCGAUCUCUGACAAGACCAGUACAUCAGGUUUCCUAGUAGCCCUCAAUGAAUUACUAGGUGGCGACUCCAAAGAACCAAAUCAGCAAAAUAGAACGAAUAAUCGCCAGCCGAUGCCGCGCUUCGGAUUUUUUUUAGGGUGCGACAUUAAUAAUGGCUCGGCCCUUAACGUGUUGCCAAAGCACAUACUGAAAGAAAUGCCAAUUGAAUCUCAUAUGAAGCCAAGUACUAUGAUAACUAGGGCAUAUGACGGCUCACCUAGGCCAAUAAUUGGGACUUUAGAAGUGGAGCUAUAUAUGAGGCCAUAAGUGUUCUUAGUGAUCUUUCAAGUUAUGGAUAUCCGCCCUUCCUAUAGUAUGUUGUUAGGAAGACCUUUGAUUCAUAUGGCUAGGGCGGUAACUUCAUCAUUACACCAAUGCUUGAAGUAUAUCAUGAAUAGGAUAUUGGUAACUGUGAAAGCUGAGGAGACAAUAUCCAUGAUGAAGAAUGUGGCCAUACCUUUCAUCGAGGCUGAGGAUCCCAAGGAUAACAAUAUCCAUGCUUUUGAGAUUAUGAAAACUGACUGGGUGCCUGAGAACACAGUACUAAGAAGGCCAAGGAUCUCAGAAGCGGCAAAGAUGGCAGCUCAAUGCUUCUUGGAACGCGGGAUCCCAUUUCAGUAUAACCGUAUCACUUGGGUACCAAAAAGGGUUAAUCCGAUUAAGAUGAAAGGUGUUGAUCACAGAUUUGGGUUAGGGUAUAAACCUAAAAAAGAGGAUCAUCGAUGGGCUGCUGGUCGAAGAAGGGAAAGAAGAAUGGCUAGGAUGGAUGGAAGGAAGAGAGCCUGAAGAAAAAAAGCUGGAAAUCCCUCCCCUUAGGAGCAGAAAGCCUUGGUCAAGAACUAUCAAACAUGAGCAUAAACAUCUUGGAGGAGAAGGAGGUGACGUGAAGACGGUAGCGGGAAAGAAAGAUGAAGCACUGCCACAACUGAUUAUCCACACUUUGGGAGAAGUCUCUGCUAAGACCUUUGUAUGAAAGGUGGCUGAGGGCGAGAAGUUUCAAAACUGGGCGACUCAAGAAGCCCUAGUAGUGUUUAAAAUGUAAACCAACUUUGUUUGCCUUAAUAUGCUUUUGUCAUUGCUUUUGUUUGCCUUAUUCUCCCUAGUUGACAAUUAAGGCUCAUGAUGUCAAUUAGAUUUUUUCAUUGUUAUUGAGCCCACCUUUUGUUUUAAAUAAUGAGAUAACGCGUUUUCCAAAUUUUCCUCUUUAUUUGUACAUUUACACUAAACAUUUUUCGCUUUCAGGAACCCCGAAAGCAGAUCUUCCACAACAUCACAUACACUUAGCAUCGAGAAUGAAUGGUCAAAAUUUAACAAACAUGUUAUCACCAUGGAAGAAGAAGAAGAAUGGGAUGAAAGCAAUGUUAGGGAAUUUACAAAGUUAGUAGAGCAACAUGAACAAACCUGGGAACCAGCUAUAGAAGAAUUAGAGACCAUUUGGUUUGAAGAAUGCAGGAGCCACCUAUCGGAGAGCCAUGGUGACUCUGUUCCAUGAUAUGAUGCACAAGGAAAUUGAGGUGUAUGUAGAUGACAUGAUUGCCAAGUCCAAGAAGGGAGAAGAUCAUGUAAAGGUUUUGAGGAAGUUGUUUGAGCGUUUGAAGAAGUAUGAACUAAAGCUCAACCCUACAAAAUGUUCGUUUGGAGUUAAAUCUGGAAAGCUGCUAGGAUUUGUGGUAAGUGACAAAGGUAUAGAGGUGGAUCCUGAUGAAGCGAAGGCCAUCCAAUCCAUGCCAUCCCCAAAGACGGAGAAGGAGGUGAGGGGAUUCUUGGGAAGAUUGAACUAUAUUGCUAGAUUUAUAGCUCAACUAACCACAACAUGUGAACCUGCCUUCCAGCAACUAAGGAAAAGGAAUCUUGGGAUUUGGAAUGAGGAGUGUGAGGAGGCAUUCAAUAAAAUCAAGCAAUACUUACAAAGUUCGCCUUUGCUUGUUCCUCCUAUAUCAGGAAGGCCUUUAAUAUUGUAUUUGAUAGUGACUAAAACAGCUAUGGGAUGUGUAUUGGGUCAGCAUGAUGAAACCGAAAGGAAAGAAAGGGCUAUUUAUUACCUAAGUAAGAAGUUCACUGAAUGUGAGUCUAGAUACAUUGUGAUAGAAAAACUCUAUUGUGCAUUGGUAUAAGCAACAAAAGAUUACGACAUUACAUGUUGUAUCACACCACUUUGUUGAUUUCAAAAGUGGAUCCACUAAGGUACAUUUAUGACAAGCCCUAUCUUUUAAGACGAAUUGCAAGGUGGCAGGUUUUGUUGUCAGAAAAUGACAUAGUAUAUAUGACAAGGAAAGUCGUGAAGGGGAGCGCGAUUCCCGACCACCUGGCUGAUAAUGUUGUUGAAGAUUAUGAGCCAUUAAAUUUUGAUUUUCCAGAUGAAAAUGUAUUAUCAAUAGCAGGAGAAGAAGAGAAGACAGAUUGGUGGACCAUGUUUUUUGACGGAGCAGUGAAUGUUUAUGGUAAUGGGGCCAGCACGGUGAUAAUCUCUCCUGACCAGAAGCAGUAUCCGGUUUCAGUUAAAUUGUAUUUUAAAUGCACCAAUAAUACAGCUGAAUAUGAGGCUUGUAUCCUAGGUUUAGAAGUUGCGUUGGAGCUGAAGAUCAGAAAGAUAGAUGUAUAUGGUGACUCAAUGUUGAUUAUCUAUCAAGUGAAAGGAGAAUGACAAACUUAGGAAGAAAAGUUGAGGCUGUACCAAGAAUAUUUAUCCACACUAUCAGAAGAAUUUGAAGAGAUAAGAUUCACCCAUCUAGGAAGAGAAGGGAACCAUUUUGCAGAUGCUUUGGCCACGUUGGCUGUUAUGGCUACGAUUGAUCUCUGGCUUAAGGUACAUCCUGUACACAUAGACAUCAGAAAUAACACAGCUCACUGUUGCUUAGUUAAAGGAGAGGUAGAUGGAAAGCCUUGGUACUAUGAUAUCAAGAAUUUUAUACAAAAUCAGGAAUAUCUAGUGGGAGCUUUGAAGAUGGAUAAGAAAACCCUAAGAACGUUAGCCAUGAAUUUCUACCUGGACGGAGAGAUUUUGUAUAAAAGAUCAUUUGACGGAACCUUGCUAAGGUGUUUGAAUGAGACAGAUGCUAAAAAUGCUUUACGAGAGGUACAUGAAAGGAUUUGCUCAACUCAUGCUAACGGGCAUAUGGUAGCAAGGAAAAUACAAAGGGCCGGUUAUUUCUGGAUGACAAUAGAACUGGAUGACAUUAGAAAAAGAUUACAUCGACUAUGUCAGGAAAUGUCAUAAGUGUCAAGUGCAUAGUGAUAAGGUCAAUGCGCCUCCGACUCCUCUGAUUAAUCUAGCAUCUCUCUAGCCAUUUGUGACGUGGGGGAUUGAUGUGAUUGGACCGGUUAACCAGAAAGCUAGCAAUGGGCAUAGAUUCAUCCUCGUAGCUAUUGAUUUCUUCACAAAAUGAUUAGAAGCCAGUUCAUACGCCCAUGUAACACAGAAAGUGGUGAAGAGGUUUAUAGAAAAAGAUUUGAUUUGUCGCUAUGGUCCACCAGAAAAGAUAGUGACCGAUAAUGCAUAGAAUUUCAAUAGCAAAAUGAUCGUGGAGCUUUGUACCAAAUGGAAAAUCAAGCAUUCAAAUUCCUCACCAUAUAGGCCCAAGAUGAAUGGUGUCGUGGAAGCAGCCAACAAGAACAUCAAGAAAAUUAUUCAGAAAAUGGUAGUCACUUACAAGGAUUGGCAUGAGAUGUUGUCGUUUGCUCUCCAUGCAUAUCGCACUACAGUAAGGACCUCGACAGGAACUACUCCGUAUGCUCUAGUAUAUGGAAUGGAGGCGGUGAUGCCUUUGGAAGUAAAAUACCUUCGUUGAGGGUGUUGAUGGAUUCAGAUUAAGAGGCUGAAUGGGCCAAGUAAGAUAUGAACUGUUAAACCUCAUAGUGAAAAGAGGUUGGCUGCAAUCUGUCAUCAUUAAAUCUACCAGAAAGGAUGGCCAAGGCAUAUGACAAGAAGGUUAGACCUCGCAUAUUCAAGAAGGAGAUCUAGUGCUGAAGAAACUAUUGUCUUUACCAGGAGAAGAUCAAAGCAAAUGGGCCCCAAAUUAUGAAGGUCCUUAUGUAGUGAAGAAGGCUUUCUCAGGAGGAGCUUGAAGUUGUCUAGAAUGAUGGAGAAGAUUAGCUAGACCUGUGAACUCUGAUUCUGUAAAGAGAUAUUAUGUCUAACGUUUUCAGUUUUCUCCUAAAAUCAAUAAAGCAAGUUUGGCCAUGAUUUCUUUGUGUAAAGAACCCUUUUUUUCAUUGCAUGGAUCUACAACACUUAAUUUGUUUAUUUCUAAAAAAAAAAUCUUGAAAGAAUUGGUUUUUGCAUGAUUACAAGGAAUAUAUCAUAAAGCGCUCAAAGAUGAAAUUUAAGCUCUUCUCAGUAAGAGGUGAUCGAACCAAACAAACCCCAAAGCUAAACCCUAUGAUGAAACCUUGUCUCUAAUAGCAUUUUGAAUUGUAUGGAUAAAUGGUUAGGUAAUUACCUUCGUAAUCACUCACAUGUUCCUUCUGAGAUAAGAACAAGGUUUAUCAAUACUAAUAAUGUGCGUCUUGAAAUGAGGAAAUGCUAUCUUUUUCAUCCCUUCACUUUCUAAAGAUUUUAUCCUUUGUAGUCUCUAUUUGAGCCGGAUUGAGUUUCUUCUUUAUGAAAACCUGACUAAGACCACACCCCGCACUGGGGGCAAUAAGAGAUUUUUUGUUAGAAAAGAUGAAGACAAUGGUAUAAAAAAAAAGAAAGGGGUAAAGAAUGGAAGCCCAACAAUUAAGAAAAGGAUAAGAAGAAAAGGGAGAAGGAAUUAGAGCAAAUUACAGGGAGAGAGAGAGAGAGAGAGAGAGAGUAAAGAGGACUUGGAUCUUUGAAAGUCAAAACCCCGAAAUUAGGGGCAUCACCAUGAAAAAAAAAAUAUGAUGGUUCGAUAAUGCUUUAAGACUAAGAUGAGGAUCCUUAAGCAAGCUUCUCCAAACGCAACCUAAGAGGCAGUUUUUUUUUUAAAAAAAAAAGAUAGAAGAAGAGUGGUCCUAAGUCUUUAAACCCUCAAACACUGUUGAGCCUUAAAGCAUGCUUUUCUUUCAUAGCCCAUAGACGUAGCCUACAUUACAAGCCUUCGGAAGUCCUUUCUAAUCAAGUGCACAUAACUUGGGUUAAUAAACGGUGGUCUUAUAACUCACAUGAUUUAACAAAUGAGUGAUAAUGUACAUUUGUCCAUUAAAAAAAAAGGGCUAAUAUAAGACAUUUCCCUUUUUUACACAACCUUUUCACAUAGAUACAGAUUACUUAAAGAUUAAACAGAAGAUCACCUUGGAUAAAAGCCCUAGUUUAAAGACAAACCGCAUUCCAGAAACCGAUAAAAAACUCAAUGAGAAUUGCUUAAAAGAGUUUUCGAUGCAUGUAUUGAAAGUUUUAGUUGUCAUGAACAAAUUCAAGUCUUUUUAAAGAUUUUUUUAUUUGGGAAAGAUUUUGUUGCGUGUUGGAACGAAAACCAAAAAGCCCUUAACUUGAGAAAGACAAAUUAAAGCAUUGAUAAGAGCAUGAUAAGAGGCAAUGACAAAUCAUGCAUUUUUUGGAAAUGGGUCACCUAAUGACAAGGUUGGGGAUUUUCUUCCCUAAGAUGUGAUGGAUAGAAGAGACAUGAUGGGAAAUGGAUCCAACAUGCCAUUUCGAGCACGUGAACAAGAUCGUAUCAAGAGAAUUUCAAAAAUUGAAGGAAGUGAUGGACCUAUGUUUCCAAUCCAAGUAAGGAUGCAUGCAUGGCAUCCAACCUCAAAGCAUUACAUCAAACAUUUUUGUUGACUUGUUAAAAAAAAAAUCCUCAUUGUAGUCCAGCAAGAUUAGGGACAAAGAAAGAAUCUUUGAGUAUAUGAACAACGAAAAAUCAUAGCUUGGAUCCAGAAAUGGGAAGAAGAGAUAAACCCUAACAUUAGAGAAAUCUCAAAGAAAUAAAAAGAUCAAUGAAGAAGAGUCUUCAAUUUAAACCAUAUCAUCCUGAAGAAGAAGCAUUGUUGGUUAAAAGGGAUCGCCAGACAGGAUCUUAGGUUAACCACCACAUGAAGAUUUCAGUUUUGGUUGAAGGGAGUCACCAGAUGGGAUUCUAGGUUGAUCGAGCUACGCACAGAUUUUGGUUCUGGUUAAAGGGGAUUGGCGAAGGGAUUUCAGUUUAUCCUAGCCACGAAGAGAUUUUGGUUCUGGUUAAAGGGGAUCGGCAAAGGGAUCUCAGUUUAGCCCAACUACACGGACUUUGGUUCUGGUUAAAAGGGAUCGACAAAGGGAUCUUAGUUUAGCCUAACUGCAAAGGAUUUUGGUUCUGGUUAAAGGGGAUCGGUGAAGGCAUCUCAGUUUAGCCCAACCACAUGGAUUUUGGUUCUAGUUAAAGGGGAUCAGUGAAGGGAUCUCAGUUUAACCUAGCCACGAAGAGACUUUGGUUCUGGUUGAAGAGGAUUGCCUGUAAAUGCAGAGUUUCAGAUCAACCAAGUUGUGAGAAGAUUAGUUUCGGAAGUUCACUUUUGUUUAUCUUUAAAAAACUUACUUUGUAAAGUCUUUACUACAUAAGUAUUGUAAAGAGGGGGCAUCUGUUGUAACCCAUUUUUGGGUCCCCACACAAGAAAAGAGAAAAUACAAAAAAAUUAAAUAAAUAAAACAAUAAUGAUAAUAAUAAUAAUAAAAUAAUAAUGAAAUAAAAAAUAAUAUAUCGUGAAAAGAGGAUGCCAGAGCGCCCAAAAAACGGUCAAAAAUUGGUUGAGGAGGUUUUAAAAUACAAAUGUUAAAAUUUGACAGUAUAUCAUUGACUAGUGAGAGCCAUAUUGAUUAAGAAAAUUUUAUUUGAGGAAGAAAAGUACAAAAUCAGAAGUUUAUGGACUCAAUUAAAUUUUAUUGAAGGUUUAAUUGAAUUAUCGAAGGGUUUGAUUGCAAGAAAAAAUGAUUUUUAAGUCAAUUUGAGUUUUAAUUGGAAGAAAUUAAAGUUCUGGGGUCAAAUUUUAUUUUUUAGAGUUGAUUUGGUCAAAUCACGGGUUUAAUUGCAUGCAUAUUGAACUUUGGUGGCCAAUUAAGGACUUGAUUGAAGAAAUACAAAACCAAGGACCACAAUGAAAAAGCGCGCAAAUUGAAGGGAUGAUCUGAAAUUGGAUGCAUUCUGGCGUUUGUUUUUAUUUAAAUGAAACAGCACGUUUUGGUCAAAACGGCGCCGUUUCAUGCAUUUCACAAAUAAAAGAAGCAAACGGCGCCGUUUUGAAUAGCACCAUGAGCUUUCUUCUUUCCUUGGACACAUAGAGAGCAGCAGAAGAAGAAGCAUUUUUCCCCCUGUUUUUGUUCCCCUCUCUCUCCCAAAACCCAAAAAACCAACGACGACCCGACUUGUCCCUUCACUGACACCACCACGCCCUCUUGUUGAAAGAGCCAUACCCUGCGAACAACCCCCCAGCUCACCUUACCCUACGCCAUGACAGGGGUAAGGUGGCCCUCCCCUCCUCUGCCUAUAAAUACCAGAGGAGGGAGUGCCGAAAAGAAGGGGGAGAAAAGGAGGAAAGCUAGAAGGAUUUUGUUUGAAAGAGAAAGUAAGGAAGACCGAGAGAGAGACCGACAGUUAUUGGAGAGAAAAAGAAGGGAAAACCGAACAGAAUAGAGAGGGAAGAAGAAGAAAAAAAUGGAGAAGGGAGGAACGAUUUGAGAAGGAAGAUAGGGGGGUUUACAGACAAACAUAAAAAAGAGGGGGGAGUUUGUUUUUUAGAUCAGAGAAGCUCGGCCAAAGCAGAAGAAAAAGGAAAAGAAGGGAAGAGAAGAGGAAGAGAUCGAGGGUCACUGCGCAAAGAAGAAGAAGGAUCGUUCCUCACCAUCUGGGCACCACUGUUGUGCUUUCUCUCCACCGCCAUCCUACCACCAUCAACGUUGGCAACGCUAGUAGAACCAAAGAGGGAGAAGCAGAACGAAACAGAACAGAGAGAGUGAAAGAGAAUACAAUAGAUAAAACAGAGGAGGGGUUGAGGAGAUAAACAGAGGAGACAGGAGAGAAGGAAAGAAAACAGCCGCCACCUACACCACCACCCCUGCCGCAUCCGUUGCUGUCAGCGUGGCCACCGCUCCAGGUAACUUUCUCCCCUCCCCUGUCGUUUUUAGCUUCAACUUCAUUUGCAUGCAUAACGUUUACGUUUUGCAGCAAAUGAAGCUUAAUUAGCUAGUUACUGUGCACAGUAACCAGCCUUUUAUUAGUUAUGGGCUGGAACAUCAGCCCAGCCCAGCCCACGCGGCUGGGCUGAGCCUAGCCCACAGUAUAUGGGUAGGGUCAGGGCCCAACCCGGGAUGGUUGGGCUAGGUCUGGCCUAGUUUUUUUUUUUUUUUUUUUGUUAAAAAAAAAAUUCAAAAAUAUUUGUUUGGAAUUUUACAAGUUUCCCGCGUAUUUUUUAUGUCAUUUUGAUUAAUAUCAAGCAAUAUUUUUUUUAUGUUGCAAAAAAUACAAAAUCCGAUAUUAAAAUAUCUGGUUUUUGUCAAAACUUCCAAAAAUCCAAAAAAAAUUGAAAAAAGAGAAAAGUGUUUUUGUGCAUACAGCCAAGUGUCUCAAAGCUAAAAAAUCAUAUUGUGUUUUUUUAUACAUCAAAAAAACAAUGUUUAGCAUGCAUUUUGGCUUUAAUAACCAGUUUAUUAAAGUCAAAAGAACAUUGAUCAAAAUUUCAAAAACAACAAAAUUUUUAUUUUGUUUACUCUUAGUAUCCGGGGUAUGACAUUACACGUAAUGCGUAUUCUGGAUAUUUAAUUCUUUUUUCGGACAAUAAUACCCAGGGUAUGACAUUACAUGUAAUACGUAUUCCGAACAAUAAGAAACCACCACAUGACUUUAGAUUUUAUUAGACAAAACAAUGCAGCCUAUCUUAGAUAGGGCGUAGUCGGGGUGCUAAUACCUUCCCUUUACGCAACUAAUCUUCGUACCUGAUCUCUAAAGACCAGUUAGGGUUUCUAGUAACCAGAAUACUAGGUGGCGACUUUUAGUCUAUUUUUCACCGCUAAGAGAUAAAGAAUUCCUUGUCUAACCAUAUUUUCCACAAUAUAUAGAUACAUACCACACCUUGAUGAAGGGGGGUAGGGGUGAGCAAAAAAACCGAGAAACCGAAAAAACCGAGAAAACCGAGAAAAAAAUAACCGAAAAAACCAAACCGAAAAAAAAAACCUAUUAAACCGAUUAAAAUUUUGAAAAAACCGACCGGUUCGGUAUCGGUUUUAGGCUUAUAAAACCGAAAAAACCGAACCGAAAAAAUAACCGGAAAAAACCGAGCCAAACCGGAAAAAACCCAGCCAAAACCGGAAAAACCUGAGCCAAAACCGGAAAAAAAUUAGCCAAAACCGAAAAACCGAGCCAAACCGGAAAAAACCGAGUCAAGCCGGUUUUUCCCCUAAAAAAACCGAAACCGGCCGGUUUGAACCGGUUUCGGUUUUUUUUUCCCAAAAAAAAAAAUUCGGUUUGGUUACUUUUUUGAUAAAAACCGAACCGAACCGGUUUUGCUCACCCCUAAUGGGGGGGUGGUGGACGAUCGCCCCAACGCCGCAUACCUUGAUGAUAAAAAAAAUACAUUUUAGCAUCUCAUCUUUUUAAUCUAUUAAUUUACAGGUCCUUUUAAUUUCUGAAAAAUUAAUUUUGGUAUCAAAUUUUUUUUUAUCAUUUUCAGUUUAUUAAUUUAGUUAAUUUUGGUCCUAUUGUAAUAAAGUUUUUUUAAUAAAAUUUUAUUUUAAUUUUCAAACUUUUUCUAUGUACAAAAAGAUUUUUAAGCAUCUACUUAUGUGUUUUUCUUGAAAGAAAGAUUAAUUAAAAAAACAGAAUACUGAAGUAAGAAAAUCGAGUAAUAUAAAUGGUUGAAAAUUAUAUUUUUGCAUCUCAUCGUUUUAAUUUAUUAAUUGACAGGCUUUUUUAAUUUCAGAAAAAUUAAUUUUGAUACCAAAUUUUAUUUUUAUUAUUUUAAGUAUUUUAAUUUAUUUAAUUACAUACUUGUAUGAAUUUUUUUAUUUAUAUUUUGAUUUUAAAAAAAAUAGUCUGCAUAGCCAUGGUUUUCUUAAAAGAUAAAUUUACGACUUGUGUGGAGGCGUGCUAGUAAAAUGGCUAGUAAUUUAAUAAAGAAGAACACACCACCUAACCAGACUCCACAACACAUCCAAUUUUCAAACAUGUUUAUUGUAAGUGAUACAACUAUUGAUAUUGUAGGCGAUACAAUUAUUUGUGAAAAUAUAAUAUUUUUAAUUACCAACAUUUCAUCAAAUAAUACAACAACAAAAAAAAUUUAAUUUUUUAAUAUUUUAGGGGUAAUCAAUUAUCAAAGAAUGGACAAUACCAUUGGUUGGAUUAGCCUGUGCAUGCACAUGGCCAGCAAGACGUGGACGUGGCCACCUUGCAGAGUUUAAUAAGAUGAACGAAAGAGGAAUCUAAGCAUUUUUAUAUUCUUAACAUUUCCGUCAAUCUGAAUGGUGGUUGUUUGGCAAUUUUGCUUUGGUCAUCAGACAUCACGGAUUGUUUACAUGUUUUCCGUGCUUUUAAAUAUGGAACUGUUGGCAACAGAUGAGGCAGAGCUUCCAAGAAAGUUCCUGGGCAUUCUAGUUCCUGUGUAGAGGCAGAGAUGACUAAGUGGCUACAUUUCCAGCAAACAUGGCAAGAAAUCCUUCCAAAAAUAGGGUUAAACUACUUUAUUUUCUUUCUUAUUUUUCAGUCCUUCGUUCUCUUCUUGUUUAAGCUCACUAGAAGUCGCAAACUCAAUUUACCUCCAUCCCCCCCAAAGCUGCCUGUAAUCGGCAACAUUCACCAUUUGGGCACACUGCCACAUCGUUCUUUACAAGCUCUCUCGAAAAAAUAUGGCCCUUUAAUGCUUUUGCACAUGGGGCAUGUUCCGACUCUCAUCGUU
rnacentral:lncRNA from 1 species